rnacentral:misc_RNA from 1 species
AGGUUUCCGUAGGUGAACCUGCGGAAGGAUCAUUGUCGUUGCCUCGACCAACCAGCGAACCAAUAUCAGUUUGACCUACCUCUGUCCCCGCUGUGCCUCGCGGUGCGGUCGGGUGGCAGACCUCUCUUAACAGAGCAACUCCUGGUGCCCAGCGAGCCAAGGAACUGUAGUCAAUCGGGACAGACGUAGUGGGUGACCCCAACGGGGCUCACCCGCUGUGCGACCGGACAGGACAUCACACAUGCUUUCGUACGACUCGCGGCAACUGAUAUCUCGGCUCUCACAUCAAUGAAGAACGUAGCGAAAUGCGAUACUUGGUGUGAAUUGCAGAAUCCCAUGAACCAUCGAGUCUUUGAAUGCAAGUUGUGCUCGAGGCCAUUGGGGUGAGGGCACGCCUCCCAUCGCUCCCCCCCCCCCAUUGACCCGGAGGGUGACGCAGAGACUGGUCGCCCGUGCUAGAGAAGAUCUCCAUGCCCCAUCGGCCCAAAUGCAGGAAAGCUGCGCGGUUGGGCGCGACGAGUGGUGGUCUGAGCAGAGCUGCGGACGCUGCGCCUACCCGUGCCACACUGCAUGGAAUGAGAGGGGCACAGAUUGCAGGCCGCCGAUGCGACGUGAAUUGAUCGGCGUGCCGGCUCCUGAGCGACGAGCGACCCC